rnacentral:rRNA from 1 species
AGCGAACGCUGGCGGCAGGCUUAACACAUGAAAGACGAACGCCCCGCAAGGGGCGUGGCAGACGGGUGAGUAACACGUGGGAACGUACCCUUUGGUUCGGAAUAACUUGGGGACACUCAAGAUAAUACCGGAUAAGCCCUUAUGGGGAAAGGUUUACUGCCGAAGGAUAGGACCGCGUCUGAUUAGCUAGUUGGUGAGGUAAUGGCUCACCAAGGCGACGAUCAGUAUCUGGUCUGAGAUGAUGAUCAGCCACACUGGGACUGAGACACGGCCCAGGGUCCUACAGAAGGCAACUGUGGGGAAUAUUUGACAAUGGGGGCAACCCUGAUCAAGCCAUGGCGCGUGAGUGAUGAAGGCCUUAGGGUUGUAAAGCUCUAUUACCCGGGACAAUAAUGACUGUACCGGCAGAAUAAGCCUCGGCUAUCUUCGUGCCAGCCGCCGCAGUAA